AUUCUUACCUGGCAGGAGAGAUACCAUGAUCACAAAGGUGGUUUUCCCAGGGUGAGGCUUACCCAUUGCACUCCAGAUGUGCUGACCCCUGUGAUUUCCCCAAAUGUGGGAAACUCGACUGCAUAAUUUGUGCUAGUGGUAGGGGGGAGGGCAAAUAAAUUCAGAUGGGUUCCUG
ensembl:snRNA U1 U1 spliceosomal RNA